UGGCGAACGGGUGAGUAACGCGUAGGAAUCUGCCCCGAACUGGGAAAUAACGGCCAUAAGCCGGGUAAUGUCCCAUAGUCCCGCAAGGGUAAAGCAGCAAUGCGGUUUGGGAGGAGCCUGCGUCCUAUCAGCUUGUUGGUGGGGUAAUGGCCUACCAAGGCAGUGACAGGUAGCUGGUCUGAGAGGAUGGUCAGCCACAAUGGGACUGAGACACGGCCCAU
rnacentral:rRNA from 1 species